CACGGAGUUAGCCGGGGCUUAUUCUCCCGGUACUGUCAUUAUCAUCCCGGGUAAAAGAGCUUUACAACCCUAAGGCCUUCAUCACUCACGCGGCAUUGCUGGAUCAGGCUUGCGCCCAUUGUCCAAUAUUCCCCACUGCUGCCUCCCGUAGGAGUCUGGGCCGUGUCUCAGUCCCAGUGUGGCCGAUCAUCCUCUCAGACCAGCUAAGGAUCGUCGCCUUGGUAGGCCUUUAUCCCACCAACUAGCUAAUCCUACGCGGGCUCAUCCUCGGGCGAUAAAUCUUUGAUCUCGCGAUAUCAUCCGGUAUUAGCGGCAAUUUCUCACCGUUAUUCCGAACCCAAGGGCAGAUUCCCACGCGUUACGCACCCGUGCGCCACUAUGCCCGAAAGCAUCGUUCGACUUGCAUGUGUUAGGCAUGCCGCCAGCGUUGUUCUGAGCCAGGAUCAAACUCU
rnacentral:rRNA from 1 species